rnacentral:hammerhead_ribozyme from 1 species
ACCAGCUGAUGAGCCCCAAAUAGGACGAAACGCGCGUCCUGGAU